CCUACGGGAGGCAGCAGUAGGGAAUAUUGCUCAAUGGACGAAACCCUGAACCAGCCACGCCGCGUGGAGGAUGAAGGUUUUAGGAUUGUAAACUCCUUUUGUUAGAGAAGUUUAUGACGGUAUGUAACGGAUAAGCACCGACUAACUCCGUGCCAGCAGCCGCGGUAAUACGGAGGGUGCAAGCGUUACUCGGAAUCACUGGGCGUAAAGAGUGCGUAGGCGGGGUAAUAAGUCAGAUGUGAAAUCCUGUAGCUUAACCACAGAAUUGCAGUUGAAACUGUUACUCUGGAGUGUGGGAGAGGUAGGUGGAAUUCGUGGUGUAGCGGUAAAAUGCGUAGAGAUCAAGAGGAAUACUGAUUGCGAAGGCG
rnacentral:rRNA from 1 species